rnacentral:rRNA from 1 species
UACGUAGGGUGCAAGCGUUAAUCGGAAUUACUGGGCGUAAAGGGCGCGCAGGCGGUUCGCUAAGUCCGCUGUGAAAGACCGGGGCUCAACCCCGGGGUGUCAGCGGAGACUGGUGAACUGGAGUGCCGGAGAGGGAUGCGGAAUACCUGGUGUAGCGGUGGAAUGCGUAGAGAUCAGGUGGAACACCGAUGGCGAAGGCAGCAUCCUGGCCGGAGACUGACGCUGAGGCGCGAAAGCUGGGGGAGCGAACGGG